CAAGAUGAACGCUAGCGACAGGCUUAACACAUGCAAGUCGAGGGGCAGCAUAGAAGUAGCAAUACUUGGUGGCGACCGGCGCACGGGUGAGUAACGCGUAUGCAACCUACCUAUCAGAGGGGAAUAACCCGGCGAAAGUCGGACUAAUACCGCAUAAAACAGGGGCACCGCAUGGUGAUAUUUGUUAAAGAAAUUCGCUGAUAGAUGGGCAUGCGUUCCAUUAGGUAGUUGGUGAGGUAACGGCUCACCAAGCCGACGAUGGAUAGGGGAACUGAGAGGUUGGUCCCCCACACUGGUACUGAGACACGGACCAGACUCCUACGGGAGGCAGCAGUGAGGAAUAUUGGUCAAUGGGCGGGAGCCUGAACCAGCCAAGUCGCGUGAAGGAAGAAGGAUCUAUGGUUCGUAAACUUCUUUUGCAGGGGAAUAAAGUGCAGGACGUGUCCUGUUUUGUAUGUACCCUGAGAAUAAGGAUCGGCUAACUCCGUGCCAGCCGCGGC
rnacentral:rRNA from 1 species